rnacentral:tRNA from 3 species
GGAGCUGUAGUGUAGUGGUCUAACAUGCCGGCCUGUCACGCCGGAGAUCGCGGGUUCGACUCCCGUCAGCUCCGCCA